rnacentral:rRNA from 1 species
AACACAUGCAAGUCGAACGGGCGUAGCAAUACGUCAGUGGCAGACGGGUGAGUAACACGUGGGAACGUACCUCUUGGUUCGGAACAACACAGGGAAACUUGUGCUAAUACCGGAUAAGCCCUUACGGGGAAAGAUUUAUCGCCGAGAGAUCGGCCCGCGUCUGAUUAGCUAGUUGGUAGGGUAAUGGCCUACCAAGGCGACGAUCAAUAGCUGGUCUGAGAGGAUGAUCAGCCACAUUGGGACCGAGACACGGCCCAAACUCCUACGGGAGGCAGCAGUGGGGAAUGUUGGACAAUGGGGGCAACCCUGAUCCAGCCAUGCCGCGUGAGUGAUGAAGGCCCUAGGGUUGUAAAGCUCUUUUGUGCGGGAAGAUAAUGACGGUACCGCAAGAAUAAGCCCCGGCUAACUUCGUGCCAGCCGCCGCGGUAAUUC